rnacentral:rRNA from 1 species
CUACGGGCCGCUGCAGGCGCGAAACCUUUACAAUGUGUUCACGCACGAUAAGGAGAUCUGGAGUGCCGCAGCAUUGCUGUGGCUUUUGUCGAGUUAAAACAGCUCGGCGAAUAAGGGGUGGGUAAGACAAGUGCCAGCCGCCGCGGUAAUACUUGCGCCCCGAGUGGUACCCACGAUUAUUGGGUCUAAAGCGUCCGUAGCCGGUUUGGUAAGUCCCUAGUGAAAUUCACUAGUAAACUAGUGAGCCUGCUGGGGAUACUGCCAGGCUUGGGACUGGGAGAGGGUAGAGGUACUGCCAGGGAAGGGGUAAAAUCCUAUAAUCCUGGCGGGACCACCUGUGGCGAAGGCGUCUACCUAGAACAGGUCCGACGGUGAGGGACGAAAGCUAAGGGAGCGAUCGGGAUUAGAUACCCUGGUAGUC